CUUUGGGUCUUUGUUAGGAAGUGAGCUCCCUGGAAUGGAAUUAGAGAAUCCUAUGAAAAGAAAGGUCUCAUCAGAGUAAUGACUCUGAAGGGUUGACAUUCCACGCCUGAUGUCUGGACACAGUCUGAAGUGAAGCAUGCUGAGGUUCCAGAUGCUAGCAGGAUGCCAACCAGACUUCCCUGGGAAGAUGACCCCACCAAUGUGUCCUGGAGCCCCACUUUCCCAGAGCUCUGCCCCUCUAGGGAAAGAGAGAGGCAGGCUGGGAGUGUGGAUCUACCUGUCAAUGCCCAUGUUCAGUGGGGAAGCAAUUACAGAAGUCAGGCCUUCCACCUUCUGCAUCCCAUAAUGACCCGGGGUUCAUACUCCCAGAAGGAUAAAAAAAUAGGGAAGAUAUCAGGGGAGGGGAUGAGAUACUUAGUUUUGUUGGUGGGAAUUGUGUGGAGUUAUGCCCUUCUUAUCCUUUGGUUUCUGUGUUUCCUUUUUAUAAAUAAAAAUUUAAAAAAUAA